AACGAACGCUGGCGGCGCGCCUAAUACAUGCAAGUCGAGCGAGAAGGUGUAGCAAUACACUUGUAAAGCGGCGAACGGGUGAGGAAUACAUGGGUAACCUACCCUCGAGUGGGGAAUAACUAGCCGAAAGGUUAGCUAAUACCGCAUACGAUUCCGGGACUUCGGUUCCGGAAGGAAAGCGAUACCGUGGGUAUCGCGCUCCUGGAUGGGCUCAUGUCCUAUCAGCUUGUUGGUGAGGUAACGGCUCACCAAGGCUUCGACGGGUAGCUGGUCUGAGAGGACGAUCAGCCACACUGGCACUGCGACACGGGCCAGACUCCUACGGGAGGCAGCAGUAAGGAAUAUAGCGCAAUGGGCGAAAGCCUGACGCAGCGACGCCGCGUGGGGGAUGAAGGUCUUCGGAUUGUAAACCCCUUUCGGGAGGGAAGAUGGGAUGGGUAACCAUCCGGACGGUACCUCCAGAAGCAGCCACGGCUAACUUCGUGCCAGCCGCCGCGGUAAGAC
rnacentral:rRNA from 1 species